CGGGGUGAGUAAUGCUUGGGAAUCUGGCUUAUGGAGGGGGGUAACUACGGGAAACUGUAGCUAAUACCGCGUAAUAUCGAAAGAUUGAAGUGUGGGACCUUCGGGCCACAUGCCAUAGGAUGAGCCCAAGUGGGAUUAGGUAGUUGGUGAGGUAAAGGCUCACCAAGCCGACGAUCUCUAGCUGGUCUGAGAGGAUGACCAGCCACACUGGGACUGAGACACGGCCCAG
rnacentral:rRNA from 1 species